rnacentral:rRNA from 1 species
UCUACGGGUGGCAGCAGUGGGGGAUAUUGCACAAUGGGGGGAACCCUGAUGCAGCGACGCCGCGUGGGUGAAGAAGCGCCUCGGCGCGUAAAGCCCUGUCAGCAGGGACGAAAAUGACGGUACCUGACGAAGAAGCCCCGGCUAACUACGUUCCAGCAGCCGAGGUAAUACGUGGGGGGCAAGCGUUAUCCGGAUUUACUGGGUGGAAAGGGGGCGCAGACGGCGAUGCAAGCCAGGCGUGAAAGCCCGGGGCUCAACCCCGGUACUGCACGUGGAACUGCGUGGCUGGAGUGCAGGAGGGGAAGGCGGAAUGCCUUGUGUAGCGGUGAAAUGCGUAGAUAGCAGGAGGAACACCGGUGGCGAAGGCAGUUCACUGGACUGCAACUGACACUGAGGCUCGAAAGUGUGGGUAUCAAACAGGAUUAGAUACCCUAGUAGUC